GCCCUUGUAGUCUAGCUUGGAUAGGACGAGAGCUUGCGGAGCUUUAGACCCGGGUUCGAAUCCCGGCGGGGGCA
rnacentral:tRNA from 1 species